rnacentral:misc_RNA from 1 species
GUUAAACUAGGCUUUAUCCUACGCUUUAAGCUCAUACGUUAUAUUAUUCUUCUAUUUUCAAAUAAAUGUUUUUAUCUUCUUAUUUUGUAUCUAUUAUUUUCUUUUUCUCCUUAUUUAUUCUCUAAUUUCCAAUCAUAUAGUAAAUGAUAAAUGUAAUCAAUGACUAAUGGAAACCCCCUCCCUUUGCUGCAGUUGCGAGCACCCCAUAUAUUCCAUCUCCAUCUCUCCUUUCUCGUUUAUUGUUUCUUCAAUAUUUUUUUCUUCCUACAUUACCUAAUCUUUAAAACUUCAUAGAAGUUAGACAAGAGCA